GGAGGUCGGCGUGGUGCAAUGGUUAAGAGCGGUAGACUCGUAAUCUGGGGAACUGGGUUCGCUUCCCAGCUCCUCCA